rnacentral:tRNA from 1 species
GCCCUUGUAGAUCAGUGGUAUAGAUCGUUGUGCUUGUACGAUCCAAGCUUUUAAAGCUCGGCUUUCGCGCGCAACACAAAGGUCUGGUGUUCAAAUCACCACUGGGGCU